rnacentral:rRNA from 1 species
GUCGUGAAGAGGGAAACAACCCAGACCGCCAGCUAAGGUCCCAAAGUCAUGGUUAAGUGGGAAACGAUGUGGGAAGGCCCAGACAGCCAGGAUGUUGGCUUAGAAGCAGCCAUCAUUUAAAGAAAGCGUAAUAGCUCACUGGUCGAGUCGGCCUGCGCGGAAGAUGUAACGGGGCUAAACCAUGCACCGAAGCUGCGGCAGCGACGCUUAUGCGUUGUUGGGUAGGGGAGCGUUCUGUAAGCCUGUGAAGGUGUGCUGUGAGGCAUGCUGGAGGUAUCAGAAGUGCGAAUGCUGACAUAAGUAACGAUAAAGCGGGUGAAAAGCCCGCUCGCCGGAAGACCAAGGGUUCCUGUCCAACGUUAAUCGGGGCAGGGUGAGUCGACCCCUAAGGCGAGGCCGAAAGGCGUAGUCGAUGGGAAACAGGUUAAUAUUCCUGUACUUGGUGUUACUGCGAAGGGGGGACGGAGAAGGCUAUGUUGGCCGGGCGACGGUUGUCCCGGUUUAAGCGUGUAGGCUGGUUUUCCAGGCAAAUCCGGAAAAUCAAGGCUGAGGCGUGAUGACGAGGCACUACGGUGCUGAAGCAACAAAUGCCCUGCUUCCAGGAAAAGCCUCUAAGCAUCAGGUAACAUCAAAUCGUACCCCAAACCGACACAGGUGGUCAGGUAGAGAAUACCAAGGCGCUUGAGAGAACUCGGGUGAAGGAACUAGGCAAAAUGGUGCCGUAACUUCGGGAGAAGGCACGCUGAUAUGUAGGUGAAGUCCCUCGCGGAUGGAGCUGAAAUCAGUCGAAGAUACCAGCUGGCUGCAACUGUUUAUUAAAAACACAGCACUGUGCAAACACGAAAGUGGACGUAUACGGUGUGACGCCUGCCCGGUGCCGGAAGGUUAAUUGAUGGGGUCAGCGCAAGCGAAGCUCUUGAUCGAAGCCCCGGUAAACGGCGGCCGUAACUAUAACGGUCCUAAGGUAGCGAAAUUCCUUGUCGGGUAAGUUCCGACCUGCACGAAUGGCGUAAUGAUGGCCAGGCUGUCUCCACCCGAGACUCAGUGAAAUUGAACUCGCUGUGAAGAUGCAGUGUACCCGCGGCAAGACGGAAAGACCCCGUGAACCUUUACUAUAGCUUGACACUGAACAUUGAGCCUUGAUGUGUAGGAUAGGUGGGAGGCUUAGAAGUGUGGACGCCAGUCUGCAUGGAGCCGACCUUGAAAUACCACCCUUUAAUGUUUGAUGUUCUAACGUUGACCCGUAAUCCGGGUUGCGGACAGUGUCUGGUGGGUAGUUUGACUGGGGCGGUCUCCUCCUAAAGAGUAACGGAGGAGCACGAAGGUUGGCUAAUCCUGGUCGGACAUCAGGAGGUUAGUGCAAUGGCAUAAGCCAGCUUGACUGCGAGCGUGACGGCGCGAGCAGGUGCGAAAGCAGGUCAUAGUGAUCCGGUGGUUCUGAAUGGAAGGGCCAUCGCUCAACGGAUAAAAGGUACUCCGGGGAUAACAGGCUG